rnacentral:rRNA from 1 species
UACGGAGGAUCCAAGCGUUAUCCGGAAUCAUUGGGUUUAAAGGGUCCGUAGGCGGUUUGGUAAGUCAGUGGUGAAAGCCCAUCGCUCAACGGUGGAACGGCCAUUGAUACUGCCAGACUUGAAUUAUUAGGACGUAACUAGAAUAUGUAGUGUAGCGGUGAAAUGCUUAGAGAUUACAUGGAAUACCAAUUGCGAAGGCAGGUUACUACUAAUGGAUUGACGCUGAUGGACGAAAGCGUGGGUAGCGAACAGG